GACAGACAGAGAUCACAAGUAGUCAGAGAGGCAGGCAGAGAGAGAGGAGGAAGAAGGCUCCCCGCUGAGCAGAGAGCCCAACGCGGGGCUCGAUCCCAGAACCCUGGGAUCAUGACCUGAGCCGAAGGCAGAGGCGUCCCAAAAUUUGAUGAUUUGAUGUAGGCAGCAUGCCCUUUGUGGGACCCAACAUGGUACUUAAACUCAUGACCCUAAGAUCAAGACCUGAGCUGAGAUCAAGAGUUGGACACUCAACAAAGAGUCACCCAGUGUGGAUCUUCUGUGCCUGGAGUACCUGGUGUGGGAUCUGCUCCUCUCCCUUUACCAUGCUUGCCUUGUCCCUCCCUCCCAUGGAUGCCUCACAGGUAAUUUUUUGUCUAUGCCCGUCCUUCCAUUUUUGACA
rnacentral:lncRNA from 1 species